ensembl:lncRNA
AGAUGUUUUUCAAUGCAAAUGGGAUCAACUGCAGACCCUAAGAUAACCACUCCCCUACAUCUGCAGCCUGCCCUGCAUAUCCCGGGCCUGCCAGCCUCCACAACCGAGGCAGCCAGUUCCUUAAAAGAAUUAUUUUCUGAUGAUACAUAGAUGGAAGAUUGAUAGAUAUGUAGACAGAUAGAUACACAGAGACAUAGUCAUAGAGCAAGUUGGACAUAUUGAUAUGAAUAUAUCGCCUAUUGUCUCCUUGGAGAGCCCUAAUAUAGGAUCUCAGAUUUACCAUCCUCCAAGCAGUGAAAAGUUCAUCUGCUGAAGCUCAGUGGAACAGGAGGUGAACUUCGUGGACGCUGAACUCAGGGCUGACAUUAGCCCCAGUCCUGCUAUUGGCUAUGUGAACAAGAAGUCUCUUCCCCUCCAUCUGCCUCUGCGUCCUCACCUUGGAAUGGAAGCUAACAGCAGUACUCACCCCAAAGGUCUGUGGUGAGGAUCAUUUGAGAGAAUGUGUACAAAAUGCCCCGAAUAAUCCCUGGGUCAACAGCAGUCUCAGGAUGGAUCAGCUUGCUAAGGCUGUUGUAACAAGGUACGGCCAACUGGGAGACUUCAGCAGCUACUCUAGCUCCACCAAUUGGAGGCCUGAAACCAUUUAUUUGCUCACAGCUCUGGGGCUGGAAGUCUGAAGUCAAGGGCUCUGCAGGACUGGAUCCUUAAGAAGCUGACAGGGAGGAUCCGUCUGGGUCCCCCGGGUCUGUCUUGCUUUCGUCUCUUCCUGGGGUCCUCCUGCGUGCUGUCUCUCUGUCCAAAUGUCCCCUUUCAUCCAAGGACACCAGUCGUGCUUGCCUAGGGCCAACCCCAGUGACCUUAUUUUGAAUUUAUUUUCCCUGCAACGAUGCUAUCUCUAAAUAAAGUUCCCGGGAGUUAGGACUUCAGCGAAUGAAUUCUGGAAGGCUCACGGUUCCACCCUGACACCGGAAGUGAUAGUCCGGAGCGGCCUGGACGUCCAGCUCCUUGCGACUUGGGUAAGCUGGGCUUCCUCAGAAUCAGAGCCUGAGACAAGGGCCCGAGAGGCCGUGGUCUCCUUGAGCGGUGACCGUAGGGCCGAGGGGGAGUGAGGUAGGGAAGGGAAGGAGGCAGAGCCAGAGCCGGCGUGUUCGUGUUCGGGAGUGGCUUCCGGUGUGGCUGAUGGAAGCCGGGAGCCAGAGGCACCUGGCGUGCCUGGAGCGCUUCACAGUCAGCUCAUCUCGCCGCUUAGCGAGCGCUGCUCUGACAGCCUGAACCUGCGUCCCGCCUUGCCAGACGGAGCCGAGAAUGCUUGGAGAAGGAGAGGCUGGUGUUCGCCAGAGAAACCCCCGGCGGUGCGGGCUGGGGCCCUGAGGCUCUCUGCCACCCUGCCGGACACAGCUGUGGGUCAUACCGAGGGAAGUCAGGACUUCGAUCCACAGGGACACCGCAGGGUCCGGCUUCACUGCAAAGACUCCUCCUCAAUGUUCUCCAGAAAGGGCGGCCCAGAGCGCCAGCCAUCCCCAGUAAUGAUCAUAAAGGUGCACAGAACUGAAAGGUUGAGAAGUGACAGCGGUUCCCAUCCCUUCCCAGGGCUCAGCCUCACCACAGGAACAAAGCCUACACUGCGUGGAUUUUCACUGCUGAGCCAAGGCACUCCACUUUAUUAGUGAAUUAUGCAGGCUGCAGAAGACUGCCUCCAGCCCACUCACUGGGCCCAGAGCCCUUGAGCAGAGACCUGAAUGAUGAGGACCAGGCCCCGAAAGGUUUGGAAGAAGAGUUUGCCGCGCAGAGGGAACAUCAAGCGCCUGGCCAUGAUGAGCCUCAUAGUCAAGGGCAGUUGGACAACAGAGCUGGUGCCCAGGAAUGAACAGGAGACACCCUCAGCCCUGCUGGGAGGAAGCUGCAAGAUCUUUCUACACACGCAUCUGGUGAUGUCACUUCCCAACUCUCCUCUCCUCAUCACUUCCCUCCCGGCUGUGAAACUGAACGCAAAACUCAGAGCUUCAGGUGGAGCUCUCAAGAUCUGACUGCAGCCUCUCUCCGCAGGAUUAAAGGACGAAUGGUAUCAUGGCCACGAAGCAUCUUGGUGUACAUCACAGCCUCCCACACCCUCGGCGGGGAGGCCGGCUGCCUACUCCCUUUCAGCUUCUGUGCACUAUCCCCAACCUCCCGGAGCUUCAGCCUACUGAACACGCUGUGUCUAAGCAGGAUUCGGGAGAACAGAUUGUUUGAGGUUUGGAUUCAGCAUCAGACAAAAUGAGAUUUGGAACCUCGUGCUGCUGCUGCCUUACCUUCUUUCAACUCCAUCACCAGUAAAAAUAUUCUAAUCAAAAUGUUUCACUUCCUUUCUGCCCGCUACCCUCCUUGCUGCCAAAAACUUUGGGAUGCUUAAGCAUUUCUGUUCUUGUCAAUGGCACAUGGCUACGACAGUGCUUUCCUCUCCCUGUAGGCUAUAAAAAUAGAUUGGAGUAAAGGAGAAAACGAAACAAAAUCUGAGAAGUAUUUCCG